UGUAAUCUUCAGGGCAGGGUGAAAAUCCCUACCGGCGGUAUGUUUACUUUAUUUUUAGCGAGUAAACGAGCCCGCGAGCGCCUUUAAAAUCAUUUAAAGGGUCAGCAGAUUUGGUUAAAUACCAAAGCCGACGGUUAGAGUCCGGAUGAAAGAAGAGUAAU
rnacentral:ncRNA from 2 species